rnacentral:rRNA from 1 species
GUCCACACUGUAAACGAUGAAUGCUAGGUGUAGGUGGUAUCGACCCCAUCUGUGCCGGAGUAAACACAAUAAGCAUUCCGCCUGGGGAGUACGGCCGCAAGGUUGAAACUCAAAGGAAUUGACGGGGGCCCGCACAAGCAGCGGAGCAUGUGGUUUAAUUCGAAGCAACGCGAAGAACCUUACCAGGUCUUGACAUCCAGUAAAGCCUGCAGAGAUGCAGAGUCCCUUCGGGGGUACUGAGACAGGUGGUGCAUGGUUGUCGU